rnacentral:rRNA from 1 species
UACGAAGGGGGCUAGCGUUGCUCGGAAUUACUGGGCGUAAAGCGCGUGUAGGCGGCUUUGCAAGUCGGAUGUGAAAGCCCACGGCUCAACCGUGGGAGUGCAUCCGAAACUGCAUGGCUGGAGUCUCGGAGAGGAAGGUGGAAUGCUUGGUGUAGAGGUGAAAUUCGUAGAUAUCGGGAGGAACACCGGUGGCGAAGGCGGCGACCUGGGACAAUACUGACGCUGAGGUGCGAAAGCGUGGGGAGCAAACAGG